rnacentral:lncRNA from 10 species
AUUGAAGAUAUUUUAAUUUGAAAAUAAAUGUCUGCGUAAUUGUAAAAGAAAUUAUUCCAUAUAUAUACAUAUAUAUAUACACACACACACACACACAUACACACACACACACACACACACACACACAGACAUAUAUACAGAAUUUGGGUAUUCCAAUAUUGUUAUAUUUAGGUUCUGGUACCACAUUGAAUGCCAGUUAAAUAGCUUCCAUUUGUGUCUCCUUGUUUCUACUAUGACUAUUAAUAUGGAAAGGCAGAACAAAUAGUGCCAUUAAAUUUUUGUAAGAUUUAAAAUCAGAAAAUCAGGCCAGGCACAGUGGCUCACGCCUGUAAUCCCAGCACUUUGGGAGGCUGAGGCAGGUGGAUCGCUUGAGGCCAGGAAUUGGAGACCAGCUUGGCCAACAGGGUGAAACCCCAACUCUACUAAAAAUACAAAAAUUAGCCAGGUAUGGUGGCAGGCACCUGUAAUUCCAGCUACUCAGGAGGCUGAGGCAGGAGAAUUGCUUGAACCCAGGAGGCGGAGGUUGCAGUAAGCCAAGAUCACGCCACUGCACUCCAGCCUAGGUGACAGAGUAAGACCCUGCCUCAAAAAAUUAAUUAAUUAAUUAAAUAAAAUAAGAAAUCUAUUCUGGAAAUCAGUCAUCAAACACCACAAUUUUGGGAAUAUAGUUUGGACGACCACUUCCUUUUCUGGAAACCAUUUUUAGAAUAAGAAAAUGAGCCAGAAUACACCUUGCCAAAUAAGUUUCCCCAAAUCACAAUUAUGAUUUGGGGAAUGAACACAAGAAUGAACAAAUUAAGUCAUAAAUGUAUGCAAUCAUUUUUGAAUGUCUUUGCAGAGAAAUAUUCAAAGUGGUAAGAUGGAUUGAACUGCCAACCAAAAUUGUCAAUCUUUAUUUCAGUCUUCACUAUUAAGCUAAAAAGGUAAUUUUUCUCUUGAAUGAUGUGAAGAAUUGAAUUUCUUUCAACUGUUCCAAAAAUCUGUAAGUACAAUACUACCUAAUCUCCUGUUAUGCAACAGACUCCCAUGUGGUACAUCCAAUUCAUUACACAAAACACUGAAUUGUCUGCAAUGCAAGCCAUGGAACACAUCCAGUUUAUGAUAUCAAUGACUAUAUCCAGGAUGCAUUCCCGUUUUAAGGUUUUAGUAUAAAGUCAUUCGAGAAUAGAAUAAUAAAUGAACUUGGGUCCCACAUCCUUGUAAAACAUUAUUAAUUUAGAUGGGCUGAAUUUUUAAUGCUUCUAUUGGCUACCCACAAAAAUGGGAAGUUUUGGCAAAGGAAAGGAGGAACGAUUGAGGUAGAAUUCAGUCAAGCAAGUACCUUUUAAAGCCAGAUGGUAGAUUUCUGACUGUGAUUUCUAUUACAGAAAAAUCUGAAUUUAGAGAACCUCUGUGGUUUUAUCUCAACUUUAGCAUAUCUAAACAUCCUGUUAAAAAUCUUAUUCUAAAGAAUGGUAUGAUUGAGUAAUGCAAAUGGUCAGUAUCUGAGUCGAUGCAGAAAAUAAAAUAUUAAGACAUUUACCGUAUAUAUAGGUGCUAUCAUUGUGGCAACUUCCACAAUAACCUUUUAAGACUAAUUAAGAAAAUCAAAUAUAAAAAAUAUUUUUAACUACAAAUAAAUUAUUUUUAAAUUAUACAGAUUAUUAUAUAAUUAUAUGUAAAAAAUAGUGCUUUAUAUUAAAUAAGAACAAGUGAUGAAGAAACAGGGCUCACCAGGUAAGUUUUAGGCUUCAGUUCAAAUAGGAGAGAAAAGCAUAUAUUCACUGCGGCAUCCCUACUGAAGACAUAAGUGCUUCCAAAAUACACAGGGAGACUGGUCAUCUUUCUUUUUCAAUUGUUUCAUCAAGAAGAAUCUUUUUCAGGUGAUAAAACUUACAAGCUAAAUUAAAAUGCACUCUACUCAUUGGCAAGCUACAUGAACAAGAAUAAUGUGAUCACAGUACUUGGAAGUUUUUGAUUUAUAACUAUACUAUUCUCUACUUAUAAGGCUGCAGUCUAGGAGGCAGAGCAAUGAAUCAUUACAAUUGUCUAUCUGGGAAAUGUCAAAAGAUUAAGUAAGGGCAAAAGAAGAGAGAAAAGGAAAGAACACACAUCUCUGUCCAAGAAAUAUUCCUCUAUUAAUGGAGGUAUAUCAGUAGCACAUAAAUCCAGUGCUAAAUAAAUAAUAAGUACAUUUUUAAAAUCUUCAAGCAAAAUCACUAAUGAACCAUAAUGCUUAAACUUCCUUGGUGGAAAGCAGAUGACCCUCUGAAGCUCUGAUAACUAAAUGAUUCCUUAUCCAACUAUCAUUUGGUAACCUACCCCUACAUAUUAAGCAAUUUAAAAAGCAAAUUUAAGUUGAGGAAAUAAUUAGAUAUUUGAACCAAUCAUGAAUGGAUCCAGCAUUUUUG